rnacentral:lncRNA from 1 species
GGGGGUGGCGGGCGGGAGGGAGGAGACGCCGCCUCGGGCCUGCUCUCCAGCUGCCGAGCGAAAUGGGAAGGUUUGCAAUUAAAAAAGAAUUUUUUUUUUUUUUUAAAGUGUGAGGUUCCCAAUAUAGUAUUUCAAAGAGCACGCCCAGCCAAAUCCAUAUCUCCGGGGAGGCUGACUUUAAAAAAAAACAUAGCACGCUCAGCCCACUAAUCUGGGCGCCGGGCUCGCCCCAGCCCACUCCGGCUAAAGGUUGAUGGGCCAGGUGCGCCCCUUGCCCAGCCGGCCCUGGCGUCCUGCCGGAAGUUGGCCGCGACCGCACAGAGGGGGGAACGGCAGGUGCGCGACGCUGGGAAAAAAAACUGGCAGUUCUAGAGAAUCUCUGCCCGCCCUUCUUGCCCCCUCCCCACCCCCACCACCGGCCUGGCAAAAGGAGGAGGGGAGAAAUGGGAACCGACAAACCCGAAGUGCAGCUUUGACAACUGUCUUGCUUGCUGGGUGACUUAAUGCCAGCCUUCUCAACCCUCCUGAAAACCUGCCAGUUAUUUUACUGGUUAAUAUUUUCUAUUUCCAUGGUGUAAAAAUCCGACGGCUCUGAAACAGUCCUGGGGUGUGUUAAAAUAGAUUUCCCCAGGCAGCUAUAGAAUUUUGGGGUUUGGUUUGCAUGAACUUUUUAAAACCAAAGCGGAGGACCCACCAACUCAAGUCCCCCUUUUCAGCAUUCCACAUGAGAGUAGAUGGAAGAUUUUGUUUAUUUCCUUAACAAAGGUGCAUGACCUGUUCACAAAGAUGUGGGGCAAAGCAAUAGGAAAAAAAAAACAUGUAAAGGAAGAGGACCUUUCUUGGAGAAAAUGGGCAUUGUGUUGGAAGAAAGUGGGAAGAGAUGAAGAGACAAAAAGAAGAUAACUGCACCUGUGAGCAGCUAAGUGGACAUAACUCUUCUGGGAGAAGUGAAAAACCAAAGAAAAAGUAACUCAGGCACAUGACUCUUCUGAAGGAGAAAAAAGAAGAGACAGGGAAGAGACCAUCCCAACAUAAAUUCCUUUAAGCUUGCCACAAAAGUGUGCUCUUGACCUGGGACAGAUGGCAGUGAUGGGAUGGAGUAUUUGGAAUAGAUCUUCAGGAAGGACAGAGAGAUAAUAGUUAUCCUCCUCCCUUCACUUGAAGAAGGCCUGUAUAUUAUCUUUAAGUUGGAUUAGGAGAGGUGUGAGUAUAUCGGGUGCAAGUGUAUAUCAGGAAAAGAGAAAAGCAGAGUGAGUUCAAAAAAAAACCUACAGCACCAAGUGCUUUCACCAUGCCGUGGUUCAGAUAUGAAGAAAUUGAGUGAGUUAAUAUUAAUGAGUUGGGCUAAUGGUCACAACAAGUUACUCAACACUGACUGCCUUCUAGGAGCAGACACUCAGAAAAGACAAUGCAAGUAUCGUAAAAUAAGAGGCUUAGAGCUAUUGAAAUAAAAGUAAAUCAAACAUGAUUCUGUUCACAUAUAAUUGCCAAGUUAUGGUUUGAAUCAUGCUGUUGUACUUACCCAGAUUUACACAUCGUGACACAUCAACUUGCCUAGGAUUGGCAAUAAAAUAUGGUGAUCAAAAAACUUAAGGACCAAGGGAGUUCCCAUUGUGGCUCAGUGGUAAUGAACCUAACUAGUAUCCAUAAGGAUGCGGGUUCAAUCCCUGGCCUCACUUAAUGGGUUAAGGAUUGGCAUUGCCCUAAGCUGUGAUGAAGGUGGCAGAUGCAGCUUGAAUCCUGUUACUAUGACUGUGGCAUAGGCUAAGUUCCCUAGCCUAGGAACUUCCAUAAUGCAACAGGGUGACCCUAAAAAAAACAAAAUAAAAAGUAAAAUAACCUUCAGAAGAGCAAUUUGGCAAACUGAGCCAAGAAUUUCAGUGUUCGGUAAUUUGACCCAACAGAUUAUCUUGUACAAUAUUACCCUAAAUUUAUAAAUAUUUAAGAAGAGGAUAUUUAUCACAUUAGUUACGAAAUUGAAAAACCAAAACAUCCAAAAUGAUGACUUGGUUAAAUUAUAGCAAAUCUAUGUGGCAGAAUACAUUUAAUUAAUAUUUAAUAACAUUGGGAAAUGCUCACAAUACAAUACUAAUGGUCAAAAUAGGAUAGAGCAGAAACAAUCUAUAAUCACUCUACCUAAACAUGAAAGAAAAUUUACCAAAUGUAAGCAGUAGUAAUCUCUAGAUGAUGGCAUUUAGAUAAUUUUUAUGUUUCUUUAAAUUUUUUAAAUUUUCAACAGCAAACAUAUUACUUUGAAAAUCAGGAGGAAAUUUUAAAUGUUAUUUUAAAGAAAGAUCCUAUUCGAAAGCAGUAUACAAAGAAAUAAAAAUGAAAACAAAAUUCAGUGUUUAUCUAUUUGAAGAAAGCAACAAAAAUCAGGAAGUUAUCCAAGAAAUAUGUAUGUGGUGACUCCUUCGUAUGUUCCUAGUCCUUAUAACUAUGCAUAUUGAGAACCCACCAUGUGUCAGAUGUGUAUAUAUAUAUGGUGUAUAUAUGUAUCUAUCAUUGAAAAAUGGCUCUAAUCUGAUGUUACAAAUACAGUCUUACCUCUUUGAUUUUUCUGAUUGA